rnacentral:lncRNA from 1 species
CAGGCUCAUUCCCCCAGUAGGAUUACAGACUGAGACUCUGUCAAGCACAUGCUUCAUCCCUUCUAAACAAGUACAAAGUAUCCAUUUGCCCUUUAAGAAAUAAGAGCACACGGGAGGGGCUGGAGCAAUGGCUCAACAGUUAGGAGCCCUUGCUGCUCUUCCAGAGAAACCAAGUUAGGUUGCCAGCAUCCACAGCAGGCAGAUCGCGACCACCUAUAACUCAGUUCCCGGGAUCCCACGCCCUCUGCUAGCCCCUCGUGUACAGCACACAUGGCAAGCACGUAUGCGCGCGUACGAGCGCGCACACACAAAUUAAAACACAUCUUAAAAAAAAAACCACAUGUAAAAUCUUUUCCAUCACAUAUUCCUUCAACAUGCAUUUAUUAAAUGCCACUCUCACCUGCUGCUGCUUGAAACACACUUAGAGGCAAAGCCUGUGCUUGCUAUGCAGUAAGGGCUUUUCAUUGAAUUCACACAACUCUCUGUAGCCAGUACUUGAGUUACAUCCACUUUGAAGGGGUGGGGGUGGGAGGCUCUGAGCAAGUUCACGCUUCAAAUGACACAAGAAAAGCAGAAUGCCUAGCUAUGGGGCCUCCCUUGGGGGAGCAAGGACUGACUCAUUACUCUUUGGGGCAGGCCAAAAUAAACUUCAGCGAGGAAGACGCCUGUGAGCAAGCAGGUGGGAUUUAGAUAGCGCAGAAUGGAGGGAAGGCGUUUCAGGCAGAGGAAUCUGAGCAAGAAGAAGGAGUGGACAAAGGUCAGAGUGUGCACCGGGGGAAACGAGGCAAGGCAGAUUGCCAUUGUUUCAAGAAGAUUGACUUCAAAAUAGCUUUCUGUGGGGACACACAAAGUGAAAAAUGAGGAGGUGAUGAGAAUUCCCAAGACUAUGUCAAUCUGAGUUCUCAAGGUAAUAUUGGGGUGUGGGAGUAAAUCUGGAGUCACUAAGGGCAACGUAGAAAUUUAGGGAAUAAGAAAUUCCUCAACAAACUUUUCAGGUGUUGGUAGAGG